rnacentral:misc_RNA from 1 species
UCCGGUUUGUCACCGGCAGUCUCGCAUGAGUCCCCGGCCGAACCGCUGGCAACAUGCGACGGGGGUUGCGCUCGUUGCGGGACUUAACCCAACAUCUCACGACACGAGCUGACGACAGCCAUGCACCACCUGUGAAAGCGUCCCGAAGGAACCCCGUGUUUCCACGGGUAGCGCUUACAUGUCAAGCCCAGGUAAGGUUCUUCGCGUUGCGUCGAAUUGAACCACAUGCUCCGCUGCUUGUGCGGGUCCCCGUCAAUUCCUUUGAGUUUUAGCCUUGCGGCCGUACUCCCCAGGCGGGGCACUUAAUGCGUUAGCUACGGCACGGAAGGAGUCGACACCUCCCACACCUAGUGCCCAUCGUUUACGGCGUGGACUAC